AUUGAACGCUGGCGGCAGGCUUAACACAUGCAAGUCGAGCGAGCGGCGGACGGGUGAGUAAUGUCUGGGAAACUGCCUGAUGGAGGGGAAUAACUACUGGAAACGGUAGCUAAUACCGCAUACCAUCAGAUGUGCCCAGAUGGGAUUAGCUAGUUGGUGGGGUAAUGGUGCACCUAGGCGACGAUCCCUAGCUGGUCUGAGAGGAUGACACGACAAGCUGGAACUGAGACACGUUCCAGACUACUACGGGAGGCAGCAGGGGGGAAUAUUGCACAAUGGGCGCAAGCCGGAUGCAGCCAUGCCGCGUGUGUGAAGAAGGCCGUCGGGUUGUAAAGUACUUUCAGCGAGGAGGCGUUACUCGAAGAAGAAGCACCGGCUAACUCCGUGCCAGCAGCCGCGGUAAUAC
rnacentral:rRNA from 1 species